AUUGAACGCUGGCGGCCGGCCUAACACAUGCAAGUCGAACGAGUGGCGGACGGGUGAGUAAUGUCUGGGAAACUUCCUGAUGGAUGGGGAUAACUACUGGCAACGGUAGCUAAUACCGCCUACCAUCAGCUGUGCCCAGAUGGGAUUAGCGAGUUGGUGGGGUAACGGCUCACCACGGCGACGAUCCCUAGCUGGUGUGAGAGGAUGACCAGCAACACGGGAACUGAGACAAGGUCCAGACUCCUACGGGAGGCAGAAGUGGGGAAUAUUGCACAAUGGGCGCAAGCCUGAUGCAGCCAUGCCGCGUGUAUGAAGAAGGCCGUCGGGUUGUAAAGUACUUUCAGCGGGGAGGCGUUACCCGCAGAAGAAGCACCGGCUAACUCCGUGCCAGCAGCCGCGGUAAUUC
rnacentral:rRNA from 1 species